AAACUAACAAGGAUUCCCUUAGUAACGGCGAGUGAACCGGGAAGAGCUCAAAUUUGAAAUCUGGCUGUCUUCGAUAGUCCGAGUUGUAAUCUAUAGAAGCGUUUUCCGUGCUGAACUGUGUCUAAGUCCCUUGGAACAGGGUAUCAAAGAGGGUGACAAUCCCGUACUUGACACAAUCAUCAGUGCUCUGUGAUACGCUCUCUACGAGUCGAGUUGUUUGGGAAUGCAGCUCAAAAUGGGUGGUAAAUUCCAUCUAAAGCUAAAUAUUGGCGAGAGACCGAUAGCGAACAAGUACCGUGAGGGAAAGAUGAAAAGCACUUUGGAAAGAGAGUUAAACAGUACGUGAAAUUGUUGAAAGGGAAACGAUUGAAGUCAGUCGUGUUCAUUGGAUUCAGCCGGUCUUCGGUGUACUUCCUUUGAACGGGUCAACAUCAGUUUUGCCCGGUGGAUAAAGGCAGUAGGAAUGUGGCCUCUCCGGAGGUGUUAUAGCCUAUUGUCACAUACACUGGGGGAGACUGAGGACUGCAGCUCGCCUUUUGGCCGGGGUUCGCCCACGUUCGAGCUUAGGAUGUUGACAUAAUGGCUUUAAACGAC
rnacentral:rRNA from 1 species